AAUGUAGUUGAUGUGAAGCCACUGCUCGCAGUCGUUGCAGCUGUAGUUCCAGCACCUUUUAUCGAUAUCCUCUUCACAAACCUCACAAAUUUGUUGGGUAUCAUCAUCAUCAUCAUCGGUGGUUAACUUAGUUGAGGUGGUUAGGUUGAGAGGGUGUGCAUCAAAUUUGUGGCUAAUGGUAGUGGGAAGCAAAGCGCAGCGAGCAUGUAGUUUUAGAUGACGACAAUUGCUGCACUUAUAGAACAUUCUAUUUGCAAAGUCGUUGCAGCAGCUACACGUGCCUGAGUAACGCGACAUGUAAAGAAUGUGCGUCUUCCCGUGAGAGGCGUGGGUGAUUGAGGCAGGCAUUAGUGCGCACAAAACAUCCAUGCUGACGUCUUUGCAAGUUUUGCAGCAGUAGGCGAAUCCAGAGCACAGCAUCCAGCAACCAUGGCAGAAGAAGCCUUCAUCAUAAUUUUUUCUGGGUGCUUUUGUGAAGAGGGAAAGGGUGUGGUCUGGAUGAAAGGGGUGCUUGAUUUUGGGUGGAAGAUUGAAACAAGAGUCGUGGAGAAGAAAAUCCGGACAUUGGGAACAGCUGUAGAAUGGAGGGGAAAUGAACUGAACACACGCAUUGCAUACACGGGAUGAAGAAUGCCCUGUGCCAUCAUCGUCGUCUUCAUCAUCAGCUUCACCACUAUCCUCUUCAUCAUGAAAGAUCGACGGAUGUUUAUGUAAUCUUUGAUCAUAUCCGUAUUUGGGAUUACCAACCUCCUCCUCCUCAUAGUCAUAAUCACCAUAUUCUUCUUUAUGAUGACGAAAGAUUACUGGAAGUUGAUGUCCAUCUACGGAAUCAGCAUCCUCAUAUUCUCCAGCAGCAUCAGUAUUCUCCAACAUAUAGCGCACGAUGCUUGUGCGUUCAUCUGGCAUCGGAAGAUGGAGCAGGUUGGCCAGCUUUGCAUCUCGAAUUAACACUGCAAAUUAAAACAUCAGUUUGAUUAAUAUAAUGAAUUAAUCACACACAUAUACAUAGGUUAUUUUUCCAACCUGACUCAAAACAGCGAGGAUCCGAUGUUGCACACCUAAUAUGAGCAAAAUAGCUACACUUGAAACAGAAAUAAGCACCCACGCUAUACAACAAGAUCCUUUCUCCACAGAAUGCACAUUUGCAAUCUCGAUCAUGAAAAGCAUGCAUAAUAUUAUAGGUGAGAAAAAGAGAAUGCUGAUGCUGCGGCCGUUGCACUAGUCGGAUAGCAUUAGGUGAGGAAGCGCAAUCUUUAUGAAUCCAGAAACCACAAGGAGUGCACAGAUACGACGGAGACAAUAGGCCUUCAUGUUGCGUUCCACACGCGCUGCAUCUGAAGGCAGCCGGGCCCCUUAUAACCGCUGUCAACCUGUGCUCGUGGCUCCUGUGCAAGAUUUUGAUCUGCAAACUGCACAACACGUCGAGUUGAACAUCACAAGAAAAAUCAAGACAUUGAUAGAACAUACUCCCGCAUUUUUCACUACAUCCAUCGCAAAAUUCUGUUGAUGGUGAAUCCCAGUUUUCCUUGAGCACGAGGGGCCCGCCGGGGUGAAACGCAUUAUCCAUCAAAAUCUUGGGGAGAUUAGCGCAUUGAUCGUGCAGGAGUGCUUGACCGUGUUUGGUGUUGAUUCUGUUGAAGGGCGUGGAGAAGAUUGGGAGCGUACAAGCACUGCACAUCCAAGAAUUUCCAUCGUCUGGAUCAACGCCGUUUUCUUCACUCCUUAUUUUAGUGUGAGACGACAACACGAAUUUAAAACUUCGUAUCAUUUUGUCUCUUCUACACAAAGAGAGAGAGAAAUAACCAAUACUUCAAUUUGUUGUUUAUGAUUUCUAUAACUUUGAUACGGUGAUACUACCAAAACCACAACGCAAGAUAAGAAUAAUAAAGUAAUUCACUUCUUAGUUUGUCAUUUUCGUACAUCUACAAAGGCAAUACCAAAACCCCAACACAAUAUAAGAAUAAAAUAGCAUAAUUCCCCAAGCACUAAUAAUGAGGAAUAUACAAGGGUACUACCAAAACCCCAGCGCAAGAUAAGAAUAUAUAAAGUAGCAUAUAUAAUUCCCCAAGCACUUAUAAUAAUGAGGAAUACAAAGGUACUACCAAAACCCCAGCGCAAGAUAAGAAUAAAGUAGCAUAUAUAAUUCCCCAAACACGAAUAAUUUUUAACUUCCUUACUUAUAUCUAUACUUAUAAGAGCAUUGUUUUACAAAAUUUGAUUUGCCUAUUAUAUCCCUCCUAUAUUCUUAAUUUAAGGUUAAUAUAUAUAAUAAAUCUAAAAGUAUAUUAUAGUUUAUGUUUAUAUUUUAAUAAUUAUUUAAGUAGUACGUAGUAUCCAUUAAAACUCUCCAUCCACAUAAAUUAAUAUUUUUUAUUCUAUAAAUUUAAUAAUUUAGAAUUACAAUAUAAAUGAUUAUUUAAUAAUUUUAUUAUAAGUUUAAUUUUAUUAUUAUUUAAUUUUGGGGUGUUUUAAUUUAACGAUGAAAAAUUAGGUUAUGCUUAGUUAAUUAAAAUUAUUUUUUAAUAUUGAAUUUAGAUAGUUUUUUUUCAUUUUUAUGAGUUUUACAAUAUUAUAAUUUUUGAAAAUUAAAAUUGAUUUUAAUAAUAUAUUUAAAUGAUUAAUGUUACUAUAAAUGAAAUAUAAAUUUAUAUUCAAAAAAAAUUACUAUUUAGUAAAAUAAUUUCAAAUAAUUUCUUUUUACGCUGCGAUUUGCGAAUGCACGUUUCUCUCUAGUUUUAUUUAAAUAAAAUAUUUUACUUAUCAUUUUCUGAACUACACGCAAUAUAUAUACAUCAACCAUUGAUUUUUCUAAAAAAAUUCAUUUCGUAUCGAUUUUAAAACAUGCAUGUACAAAAUUAUAUAAUUAUUUUUUUCUCAUAUUUUAAACAGAAUUUGGAUAUGUAAGAAGUAAACAGAACCUGCUUCAUAUUGAUUCACAUAUAUAAAAGAAAACAUAAUUUGAACGUUUCAUAUAUAAAAGACAAGUGUAUACACAUUAUUCUGAUACAUCAUUGUCUGUAAAGAGGCUGCAUAAACACCUGAAUACAAUAAACUUGCAACUAAAAUGUGGAUAUGAAGAAACUCUAUUUCAUUGAAACAGCUAAAGUUUAUCACGGAAUCUCAGACAUGGCGCAGGUCUCAUGUAUCUUAUAACAACACUUGGAGCAUUCAUACGCACGUGUUCAUACAUUUCUUCAUCAUACCUGAUGAAUUGACUUCAAUCAGUCGCAGUACCUGCAAGUGUACUCUCUCGACACCAGUGAGGGGGCAGUCAUGGCAUUUGAAACCAACACUACCCCAAACUUGACCCUAGAAAACGACGAUCCAGAAAGGGAAUGCAGUUGAUGUGAAGCCACUGCUCGCAGUCGUUGCAGCUGUAGUUCCAGCACCUUUUAUCGAUAUCCUCUUCACAAACCUCACAAAUUUGUUGGGUAUCAUCAUCAUCAUCAUCAUCGGUGGUUAGUUUGAGAGGGUGUGCAUCAAAUUGUGGUAAUGGUAGUGGGAAGCAAAGCGCAGCGAGCAUGUAGUUUUAGAUGCGACAAUUGCUGCACUCAUAGACACUCCCUGAAUGAGGUUGCAGCAGCUACACGUGCCUGAAGAUUGUAACGCGACAUGUAAAGAAUGUGCGUCUUCCCGUGAGAGGCGUGGGUGAUUGAGGUAGGCAUUAGUGCGCACAAAACAUCCAUGCUGAAGUCUGUGCAAGUCAUGCAGCAGUAGGCAAAUCCAGAGCACACACUCCAGCAACCAUCGCAGAUGAAGCCUACAUCACGAUGUUUGAUGGGUGCUUUUGUGAAGAGNACGAAUAAUUUUUAACUUCCUUACUUAUAUCUAUACUUAUAAGAGCAUUGUUUUACAAAAUUUGAUUUGCCUAUUAUAUCCCUCCUAUAUUCUUAAUUUAAGGUUAAUAUAUAUAAUAAAUCUAAAAGUAUAUUAUAGUUUAUGUUUAUAUUUUAAUAAUUAUUUAAGUAGUACGUAGUAUCCAUUAAAACUCUCCAUCCACAUAAAUUAAUAUUUUUUAUUCUAUAAAUUUAAUAAUUUAGAAUUACAAUAUAAAGGAUGUAUUUAAUAAUUUUACUAGAAGUUUAAUUUUUCUAGAAUCCUUGGAAUUAAAAAUAAUUAUGUAAAGAUGAAACGUAGAAAAUAAACAUGAAUUUUAUAUCAAUCUUCUUCUCUUUUUGGUCGUGUUUUAAUUUAACGAUGAAAAAAUUAGGUUAUGCUUAGUUAAUUAAAAUUAUUUUUUAAUAUUGAAUUUAGAUUAUGUUUUAAUAAGUUUUUUUCAUUUUUAUGAGUUUUACAAUAUUAUAAUUUUUGAAAAUUAAAAUUGAUUUUAAUAAUAUAUUUAAAUGAUUAAUGUUACUAUAAAUGAAAUAUAAAUUUAUAGUAUUCAAAAAUAAAUUAUUUAGUAAAAUAAUUUCAAAUAAUUUCUUUUUACGCUGCGAUUCUGCGAAUGCACGUUGUCUCUCUAGUUUUAUUUAAAUAAAAUAUUUUACUUAUCAUUUUCUGAACUACACGCAAUAUAUAUACAUCAACCAUUGAUUUUUCUAAAAAAAUUCAUUUCGUCAUCGAUUUUAAAACAUGCAUGUACAAAAUUAUAUACAUUAUUUUUUUCUCAUAUUUUAAACAGAAUUUGGAUAUGUAAGAAGUAAACAGAACCUGCUUCAUAUUAUGAUUCACAUAUAUAAAAGAAAACAUAAUUUGAACGUUUCAUAUAUAAAAGACAAGUGUAUACACAUUAUUCUGAUACAUCAUUGUCUGUAAUAAGAGGCUGCAUAAACACCUGAAUACAAUAAACUUGCAACUAAAAUGUGGAUAUGAAGAAACUCUAUUUCUUGAAACAGCUAAAGUUUAUCACGGAAUCUCAGACAUGGCGCAGGUCUCAUGUAUCUUAUAACAACACUUGGAGCAUUCAUACGCACGAUGUUCAUUAGCAUCUUCUUCAUCAUACCUGAUGAAUAUGUACUUGCAAUCAUCGCAGUAGUAGCCUGCAAGUGUACUCUCUCUGACACCAGUGAGGGGGCAGUCAUGGCAUUUGAAACCAACACUACCACCAAACUUGACCCUAGAAAUAGCAUCCAGAAAGGGAAUGCAGUUGAUGUGAAGCCACUGCUCGCAGUCGUUGCAGCUGUAGUUCCAGCACCUUUUAUCGAUAUCCUCUUCACAAACCUCACAAAUUUGUUGGGUAUCAUCAUUAUCAUCAUCGGUGGUUAGGUUGAGAGGGUGUGCAUCAAAUUUGUGGCUAAUGGUAGUGGGAAGCAAAGCGCAGCGAGCAUGUAGUUUUAGAUGGCGACAAUUGCUGCACUNNN
rnacentral:lncRNA from 1 species